AUGAAGGAUUUGGGUAAACCAAAACACCGCUCGUUUCUACAACUUGAGCACCUUCAUUCAUACAUUAUGGUAUACUAUGUUGUCUAUAUCCAAGAUAUAUUGGAGAAAUUCAUUGUGGACAAAUAUUAUCAAUCCAUAACUCUCAUGGUAGUUCAUUCUCUAGACGUAGAGAAAGAUCUAUUUAGACCAAGAGAUGAUGGAAAUGAGAUAUUGGGACUCAACGUUCCAUAUGCCAUUGGACCGACCAAACAUAAUUGGUUGGUACUCAAGAAUAUCUUUCGAUAUCUCCAAGGCAUGAAACAUCUUGUCCUGUUUUUCAGUUUUGAAGAAAUCUGA
rnacentral:rRNA from 1 species